AUGAGACGCGGUCACACCCCCUUCUAAACUUCCGGUCGCCUCCCACCAGGAGAAGCCAUGCCUUCUCGCCCAGACCACGCCCCACUGCCCUCUGGUUAGCCUGAGUAUGUGGGCUCUCAUAGGGCCUCCCUUCCUGAGGCACCGCCCCUUGGUGAGGCCACACCCCUGUCCCAGCCUUUCUCCUAGUCCUGCUGCUGUGGUAGGUCGGGGUCACUUCUUAGUGGACCCCAUUUCUUUCUGAUCUCUGCCCUGGGUUCUCGUGUCGCCGCAUCAUUUCUUUCCAGAUUUCUCCUCUUUCUCUACCUCUGAGUCUCCCUCCGCAUCCCCAUGUUUCUCUGUGGCUCUGCUCUGGUGUUUCUUUGUCUGUCCAUGUGCCUAUGUCACUUAGUCCCCGUGUCUCGUUGCAUUCCUUUGACUGUGUGCGUCUCUCUUUGCGUCCCUGUCACUUUCUGUUUCUUGUCUCAUAGUUUUUUUCUGUGUCACUCUUAAUAUUCCUGUCCCUGCAUCUGGCCUCUGCGUCCCUCCCACCCAGUAUCCUUUUUUUAUAUCGCAGCCUUCCGCGAGGGGGCAGCAUAAACCAACCCAGCAGGCCGAACCCCGCUGGGUGGGGCUGGACCAGUCAGUCUGUCCUCUGGCCCUACCAGUCCCUUCCGGUUGUCCUUGUCCCACUUUCUCUAUCUCACCAGAAUCCUGUGGUCUUUGUGGCUGGUUUUGAGGCGGCCCUUUUGUCUCUUCGUAGACGCUCCACCCUCCCCACCCCCACCCGCCUUUUCACAUUCCCAGGGCCGCCGAGUGGAGCUAAUGAGAAGGUCCACUUGUUGGGGAUGGGGGAGGGGAACAGGUACUCCGCUGCUGAAGUACCUGACAGCCAAAUCCUCCCCAAGGGCCAGGCAUUUGGGGGUUUCUUGUGAGAGAGCCACCUGGGCUGGGGUAGGGCCCCUUCUCCACCGGCCACAUACAUGAAGCCCCUCUCCCAUGUGGCAAGGCCCAAGGAGUGGACCCUGGCUCUGACCAACUUGCUUUCCACUCUUGUUAAUGCUCCUAUUUGUUUGCUUGCUGAUUAUUUUGUGUGUGUGCAGGCCGUGCUGACUUCUGAAGGGCAAAUAACAACUUGCUUUGAGUUGGAAGCAGCAAGUGGGUGCCGGGGCCCCAACUCACGUAGCCAAGUUUGGUGGCACAACCUUUGAAGCCAUUCCACCCACCUUGGUUUUGUUUUAUGAGAUGGCAUCUCCUGUCGUCCUGGCUAACCAGCCAGGGAUUGUAGGCAUGCACUGACUCCAAGUUGAGCUAGCUCUCUCCUUUCUGAGCUGUUGCCACACCCCUUUAACAACAUUGUUGAUAAAGGGUUUUAGCUUUGUCUGCCCACCAGGCCCUCGUGUAAGUCUUCUCCCAAGCAGUCCCCGAUCAAGCCGUGGAGAAGGAAGGGGAACUGAGUCAUGGGAAGGGAAAGUGGCUUGGUGCCAAAGGUCAGGGUUAUGAAAAGAGGCAGGUCCACAAUGGACACUAUUCAAAAUUCUUUUGUUGCUCACAAGAAUCUUAGGAAGGGGGUCGGGUUGGUGCUGCACAACUGUAAUCCCAGUACUUAGGUGGCAGAAACAGAAAGAUCUCACAGAAUUCCAAGCCACUGUGGUCUACAGACCCAGUUCUAAUCAGCGACGAUCACCACGUGAGGGUCACCGUGUGUGAAAAGUAAACUAAGGCACAGGUUCUUUCCAAACCACCGCCAGAGAAGGAGCAGUGUGAGGUUUGUUGGUGUUUAUAGUAGCUAUGCAACAUGACAUCCAGAUAAUAUCUCAGGUUUGCAAGGAACGUGGCAUGAGGCUAGUGGUAUAAAUGACAGACACUGAGUAAAUGCUCUGUAGCUUCCAACUUUUUUUUUUUUUUUCCCAAGACAGAGUGUCUUACUCAGGCUUUCCAUAACUGCAAUGAAACACUGUGACAAGAAAAGCAACUUGGGGAGGAAAGGAUUAUUGUAGCGACAAGUUUGAGAUUUUGGUUCCUUUAAAAAGCACAGAAGUAUUAUGACAAUGUUUCAUUUUAAUCCUUCAGAUUGUCUGCAGCAGCUGGUUAUGAUUUGCCUCGUGCUCCAGCAGAGGUGUGAUUUUUGUCAGCCACGUAUAGUUUCUGCGACUGUGUGGCGUUUGGAAUUCUGGAAACUGUACAGAGGGUAAAUAAGUGCUAGAGGACCAAUAGCAUUCUAGGGUAUGGGGCAGGAGGAUGGAGACUUUGAGGCCAGCUUGGGCUCCAUGAAACCCUGUCACAAACAAGCGAGCUAAUUCACAAGCCCACCAUCUUCAACUCUGCCACGAGUACAAGGACAAGAGAGCUCUGCUGACAGGGACAGAGAGGAUCUUACUAUGCAUCCCAGAGGCGGGACUUAGCCCAAGCAGCAGUGGAAUUACAGACAAGUGUCACAUCAGACCAAGCAUGUCUUCAACCCUCGACAAGAGACGUGCUUUCUGGAUUCCUCGUGAUUUGGGAAUGCUGCUCACACCAGCCCUGCAGCUCAUUGGUAGCAUCUGGCCUAGCUAGGAAGCAUCCCCAGCGGGGCAAACCACGAAAGAUCUGGGUGAGAGAGAACCCUGGAGAGCCGCCGGCCCCUCCCCUCACCACCGCGGGCAACUUCCCUCAGGAAACCGCCGGAGGCAGCUGAGGUUACAGGUGGAAAACCACUAGUUUGGCUGUUUCCCCGCCCCUGACCUGACAAUC